UUCUUUGGGCGGCGAUGGGAGGGAGGCUUCGGCCUGCCGGAGUCUUUGGUAACCGGUCUGUCAACCCACUCAUUUGCCGCCCACCCUG
rnacentral:antisense_RNA from 2 species